GAUGAACGCUAGCGGCAGGCCUAAUACAUGCAAGCCGAACGGCAAGUUUGAUAGCAAUAUUGGACCUAGAGUGGCGCAAGGGUGCGUAACACGUAUGCAACCUGCCCGCGACAGGAGGAUAGCUCCCCGAAAGGGGAAUUAACCCUCCAUAACACCAUGAGAAGGCCUCUGAUUAUGGUUAAACCGCAAGGGGUCGCGGAUGGGCAUGCGGUUGAUUAGCUAGUUGGCGGGGUAAAGGCCCACCAAGGCGGUGAUCAAUAGGGGUUCUGAGAGGAAGGUCCCCCACACUGGCACUGGGAUACGGGCCAGACUCCUACGGGAGGCAGCAGUAGGGAAUAUUGGACAAUGGUUGCAAGACUGAUCCAGCCAUGCCGCGUGCAGGAAGAAGGCCUUCUGGGUCGUAAACUGCUUUUUCCUGUGGAUAAAAUACCCGUGCGCGGGGAAUUGAAGGUAACAGGGGAAUAAGCCACGGCUAACUACGUG
rnacentral:rRNA from 1 species